GGCUUAACACAUGCAAGUCGUGCGGGCGUAGCAAUACGUCAGCGGCAGACGGGUGAGUAACGCGUGGGAACAUACCUUUUGGUUCGGAACAACACAGGGAAACUUGUGCUAAUACCGGAUAAGCCCUUACGGGGAAAGAUUUAUCGCCGAAAGAUUGGCCCGCGUCUGAUUAGCUAGUUGGUGAGGUAACGGCUCACCAAGGCGACGAUCAGUAGCUGGUCUGAGAGGAUGAUCAGCCACAUUGGGACUGAGACACGGCCCAAACUCCUACGGGAGGCAGCAGUGGGGAAUAUUGGACAAUGGGCGUAAGCCUGAUCCAGCCAUGCCGCGUGAGUGAUGAAGGCCCUAGGGUUGUAAAGCUCUUUUGUGCGGGAAGAUAAUGACGGUACCGCAAGAAUAAGCCCCGGCU
rnacentral:rRNA from 1 species